rnacentral:rRNA from 1 species
UACGUAGGUGGCAAGCGUUUGUCCGGAAUUAUUGGGCGUAAAGCGCGCGCAGGCGGCCUCUUAAGUCUGAUGUGAAAUCUUGCGGCUCAACCGCAAGCGGCCAUUGGAAACUGGGGGGCUUGAGUACAGAAGAGGAGAGUGGAAUUCCACGUGUAGCGGUGAAAUGCGUAGAGAUGUGGAGGAACACCAGUGGCGAAGGCGACUCUUUGGUCUGUAACUGACGCUGAGGCGCGAAAGCGUGGGGAGCAAACAGG